rnacentral:misc_RNA from 1 species
GAACAGGCAGAAACAUAAACAGAGCAAAGCAAAGUAAAAGCAGAGAUGAAGAGAGAGAGAGAGGGAGAGAUGCGGAGAAGAUAUUUGAGGUGGGGACAGAAACGGAAACGUGUGAACUGUUUGGUACAAGCAAGGGUCGAAGAAAAUGAUUUGUCGGGCAGUGAUCGAGUUACCAGGAGAGGAUCUAAGCUUCCUCACUUGAUGGAUUUUGAUUGGCUCAUGUGAUGCCCAGUCUAGCUUAAAGCCAGAGUAUGAUCGUCACAGGUCUUGUGUC